GACGAACCGUGCGAACGUUAUUCGGAAUCACUGGGCUUAAAGGGUGCGUAGGCGGCGCGGUAAGUCGGGUGUGAAAUCUUGGAGCUUAACUCCGAAACUGCAUUCGAUACUGCCGUGCUUGAGGACUGGAGAGGAGACUGGAAUUUACGGUGUAGCGGUGAAAUGCGUAGAUAUCGUAAGGAAGACCAGUGGCGAAGGCGGGUCUCUGGACAGUUCCUGACGCUGAGGCACGAAGGCCAGGGGAGCAAACGGG
rnacentral:rRNA from 1 species